rnacentral:rRNA from 1 species
GACAGAGGUGCCGAGCGUUAGGCGGAAUCACUGGGCUUAAAGCGUGUGUAGGCGGACCGUUAAGUGUCUUGUGAAAUCCCCCGGCUCAACCGGGGAAUUGCUGGGCAUACUGGCGGUCUUGAGCAGUCUAGGGGCAGAUGGAACAGACGGUGGAGCGGUGAAAUGCGUAGAUAUCAUUUGGAACGCCAAUGGUGAAAACAGCUCGCUGGGGAAAUGCUGACGCUGAGACACGAAAGCCAGGGGAGCGAACGGG